ACAACCACAAAAGAGAAGAGUUCGACCCUGAAUAUGACAAUGAUGCUGAGCGGCUCUUGGCUGAGAUGGAGUUCAAACCGAACGAUACUCAAGAAGAAAAAAAGCUGAAGCUGCGUGUCUUGAGUAUAUUUUGGAAAAGGCUUGAUGAGAGGAAACGUAGAAAGGAAUUCAUACUAGAAAGAAACCUGUUGUACCCAAAUCCCUAUGAGAACGGCGUUUAGACGUUUUCAUGCGCUUUCAUUCAAAAGAAGAGCAUCAAGAGCUACUUAACAGUGUUGUGAGCGAGUACCGCCUGGUGAAACGGCUCAAAGAUCUCAAGGAAGCUCAAAUGGCAGGGUGUCGUUCGAAUGCUGAGGCAGAGAGGUAUCUGGGGAGGAGGACGAAGCGAGAGAACGAAAAAAGGGAUGAACAGAGGGAUAGAGAGCAGUCUUGUGCAAGCAUCUUCAAGCUAUCUGAAUGAUAUGGACCUGAUCGGGUUCACAGAGUCGCAACUGCUGUCUGUGAGAAAAAAUUACCUAAUAGUUCUUGGAACACACACUCAAUCUGUUUUUUGUCGGACGUCUGUUUCGAAGGCCACAUUAGCAACACAUAUUUCGAUAAAGAGACUGAUGCAAUGGUAUUUUUGUUCUACGAGUAAGUAUCUAAUGGUGAAACUUCAUAUUCAUGUAGACUGGUCUCUAAAGACACUGGAAACACUUCCAGUACCUACAUUGCUCAGGGGAUACGCCGAGGUUGAGCUGUUGAGCAUAUCUGAGCUGAAUGAGUUCAUCAUCACCGCCCAACCUCAGGUUGUAGCAUAAAUUUUUAUAUUUUAAAACUCUGCAAGUUUAUACUCCGUAUGUGAUUCUAAUAAUUAUGCAACAUAGGAAAUCAAAUUCGUCUGUACUGGUGGUGCUACGUAUCCUGUUCUAGGUGCACAAAGAAACUCCAAAGAACUGUGUCGUCCUUUACUUGCGUAAGCUGCAAUAAUACCAAUGCUGUUUGCUCCAGUAUUAUGAACCACUUGCCUCUUUUAUUCCUUUUAAAUUUAAUCUCAUAAAAACCUAACACAUCAUUACCAACCCACAACCAACACGGUUUUCACACAUUAUAUCUACUUUCACAGGUAUCGUGUGGAGAUGAGCAAUGCUGAUGACACUAAUGAGGGUCUGUUUGUUGGUUUGACUAAACUACAUAACGUGCGCGCUAUGAAGCUGGUCAUCUUAUGAUACGCAUACAUAGCAUCGUGUAACAUAUUCCAUAAAUUAUGUAUUAUGAACCUGCACCAGAUACGUUCAACACCUUGGCUGGAGAGGGAGUUAAUCCAGAGGAUACCCAGCUACCGCCUUUUUAUUGCGGUGGUAAUACAUACAGCUAUCAUCAACGAACUUGACUGUCUGCCACCCCCGACUUUGUUGCCGACGUAAGUUGAAACAUAUAUUCCAUUAACAUUCCUUUGUAGAAAGAAAUAGUGAUUUUUCGGAUUAACAGGAGGGUGACGAUGGUAAUGGAGUCUUCUAGGUUAAAGCUGGUGGUACUAAUCGUGAGGAUUCAUCAUCUGCUUCGAAGGUGGUCAAGAAGGCACGGAAGAAAUAAGUGGAGUUGAUAUACUUAAAAAAAAAGGAGUUGAUAUACUUAUCUAUUUUGAAUAUUCAAGUCACUUUUUAAUAAGGGGAUAAUGCUUCGGCAUCGUUGUUGGUUUUAUGUUUUGUCAUCUUAUUCUAGAGUUUGCUGUGUUUUGUUAAACCUAUUAUUAAAAUGUCUUUUUGGGCUUUUGCAACAAUUUCACCUCUCACUAAAUAACUGCGGUUCCGGAUGACAACUCCUCACAUAGUCCAUAAUUAAAUUUCAAAUUGAACAAAUAAAUAAUAAAAAAUGUUCUACUCGAUAUAGUAGAGCAUAUAAGUAAUAUCUCUUCACUGUACACUGUAUUUUCUUUAUUUUUUUGGUCAUCAUCACAAUGUAUUUUCUUUGAAAAUGUCCUUACAGAUUGAAAAUGUGUGUAUAUAUAUAUAAAUAUUUAUUAAUUUUAAAAUUUUAGAACAAAUAUCAUACUUGAAUUGAAAUUUACAAAAAAAUCAAACCAUUAACAUAUAUUUAAAUAUUUAUAGUUUUUUUAAAAAAUAAUUUUAAGAAACAAACCUAAUUUAUUUAACCAAUACUCUUUAAAAUAUCUCUUUCCGUGGACCAAAAAUAGCGAAAGUUAAUAUUACUUUCUAUAAAUUAUUUUAAAAGUAUACUAAAAAUAAAGAUAACAUUUAUCUAUAAAAUAUAACAAAAAGUAAAUCCACGUAGCAAUCCUUUCAAACCCAAAACAUAAUAGAUAACAAUUAACAUUUCAAGUUUGAGUUAAACAUCCAAUAAUAAUAAAAAAAAAAUAAAAAACAAACAGAUAGAGACUCCAUUCAAACUCUAUAAUAUAAAACAUUGUGAAUAAGUUGAAACUAAGAUAUAUUUGGUUCACAAAAGAGCUUAUUGAUAUGAAAUGGAAAUAGCUUGAGAAACUUUAUUAUGCAAAAAUGUAAAGAAAGGAAAAGACUUUAAAUGUUUGUCACCAAGAUGGAGAAGCUUGUGAUUGAUUCAUAAAAUGAGAUUGAUAGAGGGGCUGCUAGAACCGCAGCCAAAGUUGCAUGCAUUCUACAUUUAAUAUAUAUAUAGUUCUAAGAAACUCUAAACACAUGGUUACCAAACACUUCAUAACAUAUGGAUUUUGGUGUGGGCUUUAAUAACAUAAGCUUCAUAACCAAAAUAAAUAAAUAAGUCCCCCUAUAACCUUCUUAAACCAAUCUAAUCUAAUCCAAUCACCCAUACUUUAGAAAAAAAACACUCAUGUACAUAUCAAUUCCAUACAAAAUCUUAACAAAAAAAAAUGAAUAAUAUAACAAUGAAUAUACAAAUGACAAAAGCAAGCAAAAUUAUUUUUAUCACGUAAAAUACAAUUUAAAAAAUACUCAUGCAUUUGAAAUAUUUAGUAAAAAAUUAAAUAUCAUUUUUUACAUAUCACAAAGUUAUUUAUUAUAAUAAAAUUAUCCUUUAUUGUGUAAGAAUAUUAAAAACACUUGUGAAUACAUAAAAGUAUAUACAAUAUAUAUAGAGAGAUAUAUCUCUUUUAUUUAAAAAUAAUAAUGAUGUAAAAUAUUAUUUUUGGAUAACACAAUAUAAAUUAUUUUUAUAUAAUGAUAAUUACCAAAUAAAAAAUCAUUUUAUUUACGAUAAUAUAUUAACAAAUCUAAUUAUUUAUUUAAGAUAUGAAGACUUUAUAACACAAUAUAAAUUAUUUUAGACAAUGAUAAUUAUCAAAUCAAUAAAAUUUUGUUUUAAUAUAUUGUUAAUUAUAUACUAACAAAUCUAUUUAUUUACUAAGGAUAGUAAAUUUUUAGUUGCUUUAACUUUAAGUAUGAUAAUUCAGAGGCAAAAUUAUCACUUUACAAAUUAUAAUAUAGAUUAUUUAAAUAAAUAUAAAUAAAUUUUUUAAAUAAAAAUUUAAUUACACCAAACAAUCUGCGCGUAGCGCGGAUAAAAGAUCUAGU